GACGAACCUUUGCGGCGUGCUUAACACAUGCAAGUCGAACGGAAAGGCCCUGCUUUUGUGGGGUGCUCGAGUGGCGAACGGGUGAGUAACACGUGAGUAACCUGCCCUUGACUUUGGGAUAACUUCAGGAAACUGGGGCUAAUACCGGAUAGGAGCUCCUGCUGCAUGGUGGGGGUUGGAAAGUUUCGGCGGUUGGGGAUGGACUCGCGGCUUAUCAGCUUGUUGGUGGGGUAGUGGCUUACCAAGGCUUUGACGGGUAGCCGGCCUGAGAGGGUGACCGGCCACAUUGGGACUGAGAUACGGCCCAGACUCCUACGGGAGGCAGCAGUGGGGAAUAUUGCACAAUGGGCGGAAGCCUGAUGCAGCAACGCCGCGUGCGGGAUGACGGCCUUCGGGUUGUAAACCGCUUUCGCCUGUGACGAGGCGUGAGUGACGGUAAUGGGUAAAGAAGCACCGGCUAACUACGUGCCAGCAGCCGCGGUGAUACGUAGGGUGCGAGCGUUGUCCGGAUUUAUUGGGCGUAAAGGGCUCGUAGGUGGUUGAUCGCGUCGGAAGUGUAAUCUUGGGGCUUAACCCUGAGCGUGCUUUCGAUACGGGUUGACUUGAGGAAGGUAGGGGAGAAUGGAAUUCCUGGUGGAGCGGUGGAAUGCGCAGAUAUCAGGAGGAACACCAGUGGCGAAGGCGGUUCUCUGGGCCUUUCCUGACGCUGAGGAGCGAAAGCGUGGGGAGCGAACAGGCUUAGAUACCCUGGUAGUCCACGCUGUAAACGGUGGGUACUAGGUGUGGGGUCCAUUCCACGGGUUCCGUGCCGUAGCUAACGCUUUAAGUACCCCGCCUGGGGAGUACGGCCGCAAGGCUAAAACUCAAAGGAAUUGACGGGGCCCCGCACAAGCGGCGGAGCAUGCGGAUUAAUUCGAUGCAACGCGUAGAACCUUACCUGGGUUUGACAUGGAUCGGGAGUGCUCAGAGAUGGGUGUGCCUCUUUUGGGGUCGGUUCACAGGUGGUGCAUGGCUGUCGUCAGCUCGUGUCGUGAGAUGUUGGGUUAAGUCCCGCAACGAGCGCAACCCUUGUUCACUGUUGCCAGCACGUUAUGGUGGGGACUCAGUGGAGACCGCCGGGGUCAACUCGGAGGAAGGUGGGGAUGACGUCAAGUCAUCAUGCCCCUUAUGUCCAGGGCUUCACGCAUGCUACAAUGGCUGGUACAGAGAGUGGCGAGCCUGUGAGGGUGAGCGAAUCUCGGAAAGCCGGUCUCAGUUCGGAUUGGGGUCUGCAACUCGACCUCAUGAAGUCGGAGUCGCUAGUAAUCGCAGAUCAGCAACGCUGCGGUGAAUACGUUCCCGGGGCU
rnacentral:rRNA from 1 species